CUCUCUUUCAUUUGAAUUCAUGUUAAAAACAACUAUCCUUUUAGAAAUCCUUCCUCUAUGCAGAGAGGGGGUGGGCCCAACAUGUGCAGGGACAUUAUAGUCAGGAACAACACCAGUCACAAAUUGCCCUUUACAUACGUUUUAUAUCCUAUUUGAAAAACAAAGAUCUGAGUAGAAAAUAGAUACUGUAGCAUUAGCCACUACAGAGACACUGAAAAGACAAGCUCUCUCCCUGUGACUACAAAAACUUGGUAAAUUUUUAUAUGCCAGGUAGUUUCUUUGACAGCAUCAAAAAUAGGAAAUCUGCUAAACCAACUAAAAAUCAAAUUAUCUGGACACAAGAAUUAUCGCAUUACUCCAAACACAUAAUCCAAAUUAUAAAAAAGCACUGGCAUCUUCUUCAAGAUAUUUCAGGUUGUGAUAAAUUACCUAUUUUUGGAAACAGGCGUACUAAAAAUAUUAGAGAAUAUUUAAUCCAUACAGAUUUAAUCACUCCCAUUAGUACACCGAAGAGCACCCUGAGAGGCCAUUAUCCUUGUGGUCACUGUAAGUGUUGUCCUCAAUCUUGGAAGACUAAGGAGAUAUAUAAUCAUAGGAACAAAGUGGGCACCACACUAAAACAUUUUUCUACUUGUAAUAGCAACAAUGUAAUCUACCUCUUGACAUGUGACUGUGAUCUCUGGUAUAUCGGAAAAACAACCAGAUCCUUGAGAAUCAGAAUCUCUGAACAUAAAUCCAGAAUCAAAAAUUUAUCUACAGAUUCUCUUUUAUAUUCACACUUCACCCAAUACAAACAUUCAUCUACCUCAUUUAAAUUUUGUGCUCUGGAAUGCAUCUCUCAAAAACCUUUCAUGGACUUGGAAAAACUAUUAUCCCAAAGGGAAAUGUACUGGAUCUUUAAGUUUAAAACCUUUUCCCCUCAGGGACUUAAUGAAUCACUUAAUUUUAGCUGUUUCCUUUAAACCUCCAAGUACUCUUUAAAAACCUUUGAAUGAACCUCCAGAAUUACUCGCAGUUGAAAUCACCACAAGCAGAGUCACUCAGUGAAAGCAUUUAGCACUAUAUAGAAAUUCAUUGUUGCUGAGUUUAACAACUCCUGAAGAAGGGGUUUUUCCCUGAAACAGGGUCAAAAAUACCCGGGACCCCUGUAGACUUGGGACUUUAUUUGGACUUUACUUUUGAAGACUUUUUUGAGAGCGGUGCUCCAUCAUUAUUUUCUUCAAUCCAGUAUACAGCAACACGACCAACCAUCUGUUUGGAAGAUAUUUUCAUUGACUGUAUCCCUGAAGCCUAUAUGUAUUGGAACCAAUACCAGACUUGAACAACUUUUGUGUUAGAGCUGUUGCUCCUUUUCAUUUUGUCGGGUACGGCCAAAUUGAGCUUUGUACGGGGAACUGUAACAAUAUAUGUCAUUUGGACACA